rnacentral:rRNA from 4 species
GUUUUGUAACGCUCGUGAUGAGACCUCA